rnacentral:rRNA from 1 species
UACCCUUGACAUUGACAGAACCUCGUAGAGAUACUUGGGUGCCUUCGGGCCUGGAAAAC